UAAUACGAGGGGUGCAAGCGUUAUUCGGAUUAAUUGGGCGUAAAGGGUGUGCAGACGGUUUAUUAAGUCACUUGUUAAAUUCUUCGGCCUAACUGAAGGUAUGCAGGUGAUACUGGCAAACUAGAGGGUGGAAGAGAGAAGUGGAAUUCUCGGAGUAGCGGUAAAAUGCGUAGAUCUCGAGAGGAACACCAAUGGCGAAGGCAGCUUCUUGGUCCAUUCCUGACGUUCAUACACGAAAGCGUGGGGAGCAAACAGGAUUAGAUACCCUGGUAGUCCACGCUGUAAACGAUGAUCACUGGACGUUAGUUCUGUUUAACAGAAUUAGUGUCGUAGCUAACGCGUUAAGUGAUCCGCCUGGGAAUUACGGUCGCAAGACUA
rnacentral:rRNA from 1 species